GCAGCCAGACCGCCGCCGACACGUGUCCACUCCUCCUCCGCAUCGUCUUCGAACCCAAACAGUGGACCCGUCCGAUCCGGAUCCCAAUCGGGUCCGGUUAGAAAGUCCUCAGGUCCUCUCUCUCAGCUUCAGCCGACCGGUUUAAUCACCUCCGGUCCGCUCAAUUCGUCCGGUCAAAUCGGGUCCGGGUCGAGGAGGUCAGGUCCGUUGGAUCAUCAUCACCAAACGAGUAAUCUAAGGCCGUCGACCAAACCCAAGUACGGAUCCGCCGUUACGGUUCUGAACUCUGACCCGGUUCGGGUCGGGUUUAAAGUACCAAAGGCUCUGGUUUGGGCGGUGGUUGUAGUUGCGGCGACUGCGUUACUCAUUGGGACGUUUUUAGCCGUUGCGGUGAAGAACUCUCUCUCUCUCUCUCUCUCUAGCAAUGGCGAGUCGAUUACAAUCCCAUCAGCUUCCGAGCGGACUCUACGUUUCCGGCAAACUCGAGCAACCCAAGGAGACACGACCACCGACAAUGGCGGCUCAGCAAUGGCGAGUCGAUUACAAUCCCAUCAGCUUCCGAGCGGACUCUACGUUUCCGGCAAACUCGAGCAACCAAAGGAGACACGACCACCGACAAUGGCGGCUCGUGCUAUGCCUUACACCGGCGGCGACAUCAAGAAAUCCGGCGAGCUCGGAAGGAUGUUCGACAUCUCCGUCGUAACCCAAACAGUGGACCCGUCCGAUCCGGAUCCCAAUCGGGUCCGGUUAGAAAGUCCUCAGGUCCUCUCUCUCAGCUUCAGCCGACCGGUUUAAUCACCUCCGGUCCGCUCAAUUCGUCCGGUCAAAUCGGGUCCGGGUCGAGGAGGUCAGGUCCGUUGGAUCAUCAUCACCAAACGAGUAAUCUAAGGCCGUCGACCAAACCCAAGUACGGAUCCGCCGUUACGGUUCUGAACUCUGACCCGGUUCGGGUCGGGUUUAAAGUACCAAAGGCUCUGGUUUGGGCGGUGGUUGUAGUUGCGG
rnacentral:lncRNA from 1 species